rnacentral:lncRNA from 1 species
GAAUUAGGAGAGAGAGAAGAGAGUAGGAUAUAGGUUGUUGUUGCUCAGAAUGUUGGAGUCUCUUAGCGAUAUAUGUUUCCUUGGAGACAAGAUGUAUUUUCCCUCAGACCAGAUCCUUGUGUGUGGGAAGAAUAUGGUUUUCUUUUCUGGCAGCUCUCAUGGGAGAGAGAGAAAAGUCCAGAGGGAAAGGUUGUGUCUUGUUUUGAUCUUCCCUGCAGGGUUGCUCCUGAAAGCUGGUAAGCAGUGCUUUCUCACACUCUAAAUUUGGAAAUAGUUUCAUUUUGAAUUAAGAAAGGUACAGUAACUUUCUUUAUUUAGUUGAUGAGAUUCUUACAUUUUUCCCUUU